CUUCCCUUAUUUUACACUGUCAAAAAAUUAAUAGCCAUUAAUAUCUUCUCAGUGUUCUACAAGAGGUCCCAUAUUUUGGGUUUUGAUGGCAUUCCACUGUAUGAAGUGUUAAUCCUGUCAAUUAGAGGUGGUAUUCUCCCAGCAAUUAGAGUACUCUUUGUUGUGUCCCCAUACUUGAAGAAGAAAAUUCUGAGAGAAGUAUAUAUGGUGAUGAAAAAGAAAGAACCCUCUCUGCUGGUUCACCAACUGCUGUCCAUUUCUCAAAGUCACCAAAAAAACUAAGUACUAACCCUGAAGUCUGUGGUGAUGAAGAAGGUUCAAGUAGAAAGUUUCUGCUCAAGAUCCAACUUUACUUUAAUUAAAAAUUUGUAUUAAAUCUUCAUAAUUACAUUUUUGCUAAAUGUUGGGUAUUUAAAAAAUUUGAUCAAAGCAAAACUGAUCAGGUGCAGUUUCCUUUACUGAGGAAGUUUGGGGGGAGUUUGGCUUUGUGGAAAAUUGGCACAAAUGGGCAAUUCAAUCCUGAAUAAAUUUUAAUGAAGUCAGGAUAUAAUUCUCACUACAUCUGUAAAAAUUAUUUUGGACUCCACCUCUUUUGACAAAGAAUGAUAGAAUGAAAUACGUAACACCUACCCCUGCUAAAUAUUUUGGUUUGGGUGGAAAUUCAAGAGAUAACUGCAAGGAAUUAAUAUUACUACAUUAAAAACAACAAAUCAUUGUCCCUCUUUAAGGCAAAGCUUAAAAGUUUGUAACUAAUGCAAUAUCUCAUUGUUGAGUUAUUUUAAAAUUAAUUUAAUAACUGUAAUAUCAAUUUUUGUUUCCUAGGUAUUUUUAUUUUAUUAUUUGCCGGUGUUUAUGUAUUGAGAGAUUUUAAACCGUUAGCUAACGUGACCAGAAACAACAAGCGCGCGCGGAAAACUACCAGUCUUUGCAUUUGCUCACGUCAGCAGCGUACACCCAUGGGCAAAUGGGGGACACUAAAUUUACCAAUCAGAGCGCGCGCUUUACUUUAGUUAUGUUAUAAAGGCUUUUCCUUACCUUGAGCCAAGACGAUUGUGCACAUUGCGGUCCUAUAUUUUCACUCAGAUGGAGGCAUGGGUGGGUAACAAGGAAGAUAAGCUUGUCUAUCAUUGCAACUGGCUAUUGAUUUCUUUAAUUAUUUUACGAACAUAAUCAUCAGUUGUUGUUGAGGAGCCUUAAUUUUCUCGGACGGUUAUUACGAUGCAAAAUAGGUAAAUGCCAGACUUCUCGUAGACAGUGUACUUGCUUUGGAAAGUGUUUGCGAAAUCUCUUUCAACAUCAUUAGCCUGAGGAUCAGGCUCUCUAGCAUUUAUGUUAUCACGUCUUAAUAAUUGUUCUGACAUCUGGAAUCAUUGCGGCAAAAAGAAUGCUGAUAAACUGGAGAAAAUUAAUGA